rnacentral:rRNA from 1 species
GCGAUGGGGGUCCUAAUACUUGCAAGUCGAACGCUAUCUGUUUUCCACCGGGAGCUUGCUCCACCGGAAGAAAGAGGAGUGCCGAACGGGAUGAGUAACACGUGUCGUAACCUGCCCAUCAGAAGGGGAUAACACUUGGAAACAGGAGCUAAUACCGCAUAACGAUCGAAACCGCACGGUUUUGAUUUGAAAGGCGCUUUCGGGUGACGCUGAUGGAUGGACCCGCGGGGCAUUACCUAGUUGGUGAGGUAACGGCUCACCAAGGCCACGAUGCAUAGCCUACCUGAGAGGGUGAUCGGCCACAUUGAGACUGAGACACGGCCCAAACUCCUACGGGAGGCAGCAAUACGGAAUCUUCGGCAAUGGACGAAAGUCUGACCGACCAACGCCGCGUGAGUGAAUAAGGUUUUCGGAUCGUAAAACUCUGUUGUUAUAGAAGAACAAGGAUGACAGUAACUGUUCAUCCCUUGACGGUAUCUAACCAGAAAGCCACGGCUAACUACGUGCCAGCAGCCGCGGUAAUACGUAGGUGGCAAGCGUUGUCCGGAUUUAUUGGGCGUAAAGCGAGCGCAGGCGGUUUCUUAAGUCUGAUGUGAAAACCCCCGGCUCAACCGGUGGAGGGUCAUUGGGAAACUGGGGAGACUUGAGUGCUGAAGAGGAGAGUGGGAAUUCCAUGUGGUAGCGGCGAAAUGCGUAAAAUAUAUGGGAGGAAACACCAGUGGCGAAAGGCGGGCUCUCUGGGUCUGUAAACUGAGGCUGAACGCUCGAAAAGCGUGGGGGAGCAAAACAGGGAUUAGAUACCCCUGGUUAGUCCACGCCCGUAAAACGAAUGAAGUGCUAAAGUGGUUGGCAGGGUUUUCCGCCCCUUUCAGUUGCUGGCAGUCUAAACGCAAUUAAGACACUCCCGCCCUGGGGGAGUACGA